AUGACUUUUAUCACCAUCUUCAUCUGGACACUUGCUUUCUGCUUCAAGGAAUCUAGAGGACAAAUCACUGUGACUCAGACACCUACAGUGAAAACUGUUCUCCCCGGACAGCCAGUCUCUAUGAACUGUAAAGCCAGCAGUGAUGUGUAUCCUGACUGUUGGAGUACAGGUAAACCAUGUUUAGCCUGGUAUCAACAGAAACCUGGAGAAACUCCUAAACUACUGGUCUACUAUGGAAGCACCCUCUUCUCUGGGACUCCAUCUAGAUUCAGUGGCAGUGGAUCUGGGAGUGACUUCACUCUGACCAUCAGUGGAGUCCAGGCUGAAGAUGCAGGAGAUUACUACUGUCAGAGUUUCCACAGUGGUAAUGUGUUCACACAGUGA